AAACCAACAGGGAUUACCUCAGUAACGGCGAGUGAAGCGGUAACAGCUUAAAUUUGAAAUCUGGCUCUUUCAGGGCCCGAGUUGUAAUUUGUAGAAGAUGCUUUGGGGAUGGCCCUGGUCUAAGUUCCUUGGAACAGGACGUCAUAGAGGGUGAGAAUCCCGUACGUGACCGGUGGCCUGACCCGUGUAAAGCUCUUUCGACGAGUCGAGUUGUUUGGGAAUGCAGCUCAAAAUGGGUGGUAAAUUUCAUCUAAAGCUAAAUAUUGGCCAGAGACCGAUAGCGCACAAGUAGAGUGAUCGAAAGAUGAAAAGCACUUUGGAAAGAGAGUUAAACAGUACGUGAAAUUGUUGAAAGGGAAGCGCUUGCAACCAGACUUGGGCGCGGGUAAUCAUCUGGUGUUCUCACCGGUGCACUUGCUCGCGUACAGGCCAGCAUCGGUUCAGGUGGUGGGAUAAAGGCCUUGGGAAUGUAGCUUCUUUCGGGGAGUGUUAUAGCCCUCGGUGCCAUGCCGCCUACCUGGACCGAGGACCGCGCUUCGGCUAGGAUGCUGGCGUAAUGGUUGUAAGCGGC
rnacentral:rRNA from 1 species